GCCAGCCCGCUCAGAAACUACAAAGGAAGUUGACGGGGCCCGCACAAGCGGUGGAGUAUGUGGUUAAUUCGAUGCAACGCGAAGAACCUUACCUGGUCUUGACAUCCCGGAGACCCUUAGGAAACUAGGGGGUGCUUCCAUCUGGAAGAAUCUGGAGACAGGUGCUGCAUGGCUGUCGUCAGCUUGUGUCGUGAGAUGUUGGGUUAAGUCCCGCAACGAGCGCAACCCUUGCCUUUAGUUGCCAGCAGUUCGGCUGGGCACUCUAAAGGGACUGCCGGUGUUAAACCGGAGGAAGGUGGGGAUGACGUCAAGUCCUCAUGGCCUUUAUGACCAGGGCUACACACGUACUACAAUGGCCGAUACAAAGGGCAGCGACACUGCGAGGUGAAGCCAAUCCCGUAAAAUCGGUCUCAGUCCGGAUUGGAGUCUGCAACUCGACUCCAUGAAGUUGGAAUCGCUAGUAAUCGUGGAUCAGCAUGCCACGGUGAAUACGUUCCCGGGCCUU
rnacentral:rRNA from 1 species